rnacentral:rRNA from 1 species
AUGCCAUUCGGACUAUUUGUUGGGGUCAACCAUCAUUUCCAGAGCAUAAUAUUAGGAGGCGUUAUGAUGAGGAACGAGAAGCAAGAAUCAUUCGAGUGGGUAUUCAAGGAAUUUGUGUCAUUAAUGGGAGGUAAAGCACCGGUAACUAUCCUAACAGACCAAUGUCGUGCCAUGGAGUUGGCUAUUGCUGAAGUAUUGCCUGGAACGAAGCACCGGUGGUGCAAAUGGCAUGUGUUGCGUCGUGCAAAGGAAUCCCUUGGCUCUGUAUACACACAGAACAAAGAUUUCAGGGAUGAACUACACAAGAUAUUGGAAUAUAUGCUCACUGUAGAAGAGUUCGAAGCAGCUUGGGCAAAGUUGAUUCAAAAGUAUGGUCUUCAGGAACACCCAAUGUUGACACAGAUAUACGAGCUUCGACAGAAAUGGGCAAAGCCAUAUUUUGCAGGUGUAUUCUGCGCGAGGAUGACAAGCAUCCAACGGUCAGAGAGCGCUAACCACAUGUUGAAGAAUUUUGUACCUGCUGGUGCCUCAAUGCACAUGUUUGUUAGGAACUACCAGAAACUUCAGUUUGACCGUGAUUCAGAAGAAAAUUUUGCUGAGAAGAAAAGCCACUUGGUGAGCACAGUGCUCAAGACCGGUUUGCCUAUGGAGAGGCAUGCUGCGAAGGUUUACACACCUGCGCUGUUCAAACAGUUCCAAGAAGCAUGCUUCAAAUCUGCAUCCUACUACGUCGAGAACACUCUGGUCAUGAACGAUACAUAUUGUGUCACACACCUUUUUGCAGAGCGGAGAGAGAGCUAG